AGUUUCGCGGAUUGAAAGGCGAUCUCCGUUUGUUCUUCAUAUGUACAUACAUAUUUCGUGACAAGUCGUUGACAAUGAGAACGGGACCAAUUUUUUAGUUACAUUAGGAGGAUGUUUUUAUGUUCGGGGUAACUAAAAAAUUCAGUGAAUCGUUGUGUAUCGAUGAAGAUCGAUGGAGUUGAGGAUUUAUGUAAGUUUCAUCGAGUCUCUCGCAGAAUUCCCUCUAAAUGCUGAUAACUCGAUUGUGGUUAUGUUAAUGGAAGACUGAUUGCGAAUGAGGAAACCAUCCAACGUUUCACCAAAACACAUCAUCUUUGUUCUGAGAACUACGCUUAUUUCUCAAUUAUUUUAUUUGAACACAGUUACCUUUCGUGUCAGCCGUUCCAUGAUGCGGUUGGAAUGAAAAGGAUUAAACCCAUUAACCUAUAAUGUUGUGUGAGAGAUAUGGUACGUCGAUCGGGCCAAACAUAAACAACACGUGUGAAAGAC
rnacentral:misc_RNA from 1 species